CUACGGGUUGCUCCAGGCGCGAAACCUUUACAAUGGACGGAAGUCUGAUAAGGGAACCCUAAGUGCUUUGCUUUUGCAAGGCUUUUGCCAUGAGUAAAAAUCAUGGUGAAUAAGUGGUGGGCAAGACUAGUGCCAGCCGCCGCGGUAACACCAGCGCCACAAGUGGCAACCAUAAUUAUUGGGCCUAAAGCGUCCGUAGCCUGUUUAAUAAAUCUUUUGUGAAAUCGUUAAGCUUAACUCAACGGUGCGCAGAAGACACUAUUAAACUUGGAACUGGGAGGAGUUAGAAGUAUUUCUAGGGGAGCGGUAAAAUGCUAUAAUCCUAGAAAGACUACCUGUGGCGAAGGCGUCUAACUAGAACAGUUUCGACGGUGAGGGACGAAAGCUAGGGGAGCGAUCCGGAUUAGAUACCCUCGUAGUC
rnacentral:rRNA from 1 species